UACUCCUACGGGAGGCAGCAGUAAGGAAUAUUGGUCAAUGGGCGCAAGCCUGAACCAGCCAUGCCGCGUGCAGGAAGACAGCCCUACGGGUCGUAAACUGCUUUUAUACCGGAAUAAAUCCUUUCACGUGUGAGAGGUUGAAUGUACGGUAGGAAUAAGGAUCGGCUAACUCCGUGCCAGCAGCCGCGGUAAU
rnacentral:rRNA from 1 species